rnacentral:rRNA from 1 species
UGCCCAGACUCCUACGGGAGGCAGCAGUGAGGAAUAUUGGUCAAUGGCCGGAAGGCUGAACCAGCCAAGCCGCGUGAAGGACGAAGGUGCCAAGCAUUGUAAACUUCUUUUGUCAAGGGACAAAAUCAGGCUCGAGAGCCUGACCGAGGGUACUUGAAGAAAAAGCAUCGGCUAACUCCGUGCCAGCAGCCGCGGUAAUACGGAGGAUGCGAGCGUUAUCCGGAUUUAUUGGGUUUAAAGGGUGCGUAGGGGGACGCUUAAGUCAGCGGUAAAAUUGGGGGGCUCACCCUCGCCGAGCCGUUGAAACUGGGUGCCUUGAGUGGGCGAGAAGUACGCGGAAUGCGUGGUGUAGCGGUGAAAUGCAUAGAUAUCACGCAGAACUCCGAUUGCGAAGGCAGCGUACCGGCGCCCAACUGACGCUGAAGCACGAAGGCGUGGGUAUCGAACAGGAUUAGAUACCCCCGUA